GUCAGCACAUUAAAACAUGCCUGAGGGCUCUGGAGAAUGUCCCAGUGGUCCCAGGCCCUCUGGAAAAACACUCUCUGGAACAGUUGCAGGAGGUGAGACCAAGAACUUGCCUCUGAAGCCCCUUGGUUGGAGGAGGACACAUGGCUCACAAGAAUGGAUCAGGGAGAGCCCACGGUGAACCCAAUUCUGGAUUCAUUAAAAGCUAAUCAUGAUGAUGAUGAUGUUAACAGCUACAGUUUAUUGAGUAUAUUAUUUGCCAAGCACUUAACAGUCAUUUAUUCAAUAAAGAUCACUUCACAUUGUCUU
rnacentral:lncRNA from 10 species